rnacentral:rRNA from 1 species
GAUGAACGCUGGCGGCGUGCCUAAUACAUGCAAGUCGAGCGAACAGACGAGGAUCUUGCUCCUCUGACGUUAGCGGCGGACGGGUGAGUAACACGUGGAUAACCUACCUCUAAGACUGGGCUAACUUCGGGAAACCGGAGCUCAUACCGGAUAAUAUAUUUACCCGCAUGGUUCAAUAGUGUAACGCGGUUUUGCUGUCAAUUAUAGAUGGAUCCGCGCCGCAUUAGCUAGUUGGUAAGGUAACGGCUUACCAAGGCAACGAUGCGUAGCCGACCUGAGAGGGGGAUCGGCCACACUGGAACUGAGACACGGUCCAGACUCCUACGGGAGGCAGCAGUAGGGAAGCUUCCGCAAUGGGCGAAAUCCUGCCGGAGCAACGCCGCGUGAGUGAUGAAGGUCUUCGGAUCGUAAAACUCUGUUAUUAGGGAAGACCAAAUGUGUAAGUAACUAUGCACGGCUUGACGGUACCUAAUCAGAAAGCCACGGCUAACUACGUG